rnacentral:misc_RNA from 2 species
AACGCACAUUGCGCCCACUGGUAUUCCGGUGGGCAUGCCUGUUCGAGCGUCAUUAUCAACCAUCAAGCUCUGCUUGGCAUUGAGUGUCACCUCCCCCCACGGGGUGGGCGCGCUUCAAACCGGUCGGCGGUGGCUCAGGCCUCUUAAGCGUUAGUAAUACUUCCCGCUUCUAGAGCCUGUGGUCGCCCGCCUCCAAAACCCAACACCUCAAGGUUGACCUCGGAUCAGGUAGGGAUACCCGCUGAACUUAA